CUACGGGGUGCUCCAGUGGGGAAUAUUGGACAAUGGGGGAAACCCUGAUCCAGCAAUGUCGCGUGUGUGAAGAAGGCCUGCGGGUUGUAAAGCACUUUCGGUUGGGAGGACUGCUUCUAGCACUAAUAUUGUUGGAAGUUGACGUUACCUUCAGAAGAAGCACCGGCUAACUCCGUGCCAGCAGCCGCGGUAAUACGGAGGGUGCAAGCGUUAAUCGGAAUUACUGGGCGUAAAGCGCGCGUAGGCGGCUAGAUCAGUCGGGUGUGAAAGCCCCGGGCUUAACCUGGGAACUGCAUCCGAUACUGUCUAGCUUGAGUACAGGAGAGGAGAGUGGAAUUCCACAUGUAGCGGUGAAAUGCGUAGAUAUGUGGAGGAACACCAAUGGCGAAGGCAGCUCUCUGGCCUGAUACUGACGCUGAGGUGCAAAAGCGUGGGGAGCAAACAGGAUUAGAUACCCGGGUAGUC
rnacentral:rRNA from 1 species